UUGUGUGUCCUAUUUUAUCUUUAUUCAAUAUUCGAUGAGCAACAAGGGUGAAAUGAUACACGGGGGCACUCGGGGAUGAUAUUUCCGAGCGUACAACAGUUGUUUUUCUCUCGAGUGUCAAAGUACCGAUUACCGAUAGUCAAUAGUUUUAGUACCAAUCGGUACUACAAAAGUUUUUUAUUAUUAUUAUAUACUAAAUAUUUAAUAUUAUCCAUCGCUGUCAGUCCUAUCGAUAUAAUGAAAUCAUAAAUAGCAAGAUGUACAGCAACAAUUGGAUGCAACAAUUACAAAACGCGCCAAACACUGCUAAUUUUCCAUCGAGAGAGUAUAAUUCGUCUGCUUGUGCGAUCCGUACGAUCCUUCUUGACAGUCUAUGAAAAUCAAGGAUCUUAAUUUAUCAGUCUGACUAAAUUGAUUGAAAAAGCCUUACUUAUGCUUUAUUAUUUAUUCUUAAGUACAUUCUGAAAUAUCCAUAAUUUUAUUGUGAUCAUACAACGAAAACAUACAUGGACCAUCUAAGCUCAAGUAUCCCUCAAGAAAAUCUUGAAUCUGUACUGAAUUUUACCAAAAACUGAAUUUUUGAUCAAUCUGCGGUUCUCGUAUCAAUGUGAUAUUAUUAUUAUUAUAUUAUCAAUAUUUAUAAAAUCGAUUCAUUACGUUAAUCCAUUACAUCCAUAGAGUAAAUUUAACAAUAUAAAAUGUAAAUAAAUUAUCCUUCCUAUACAUAAAUUAAUCUGGAAUUUAUGCAAGUCAUGUUUAUAUAAAAGUAUGAAAAGCGAGAUAAAUAUCCAAAACAAUUGAAUUUUGUACAGUACUUUUUUGAUAAAAUAAGGGCGUUCCAUUUUACGCAUAAGGCAUAAUUUAUCCUUGUUUAAUAUUCAGUAAACAAUAAGGAUAAGUGAUGCAUCACGCGCAUCAUGCGUGAAACGUACUCUACGUACGAUAGUGCAAAUAAAUGAAUU